AGUAGCUAGGAGUUUAAUUGAAAUACUAAAGAAAAACUGGAGGGUUAAACAAGAAUUUGCAGGGAAGAAAUAGCUAGUAACUAAAGAAUGUAGGGACUAAAUGGCGAUAUGAAAAGAAGAAAGAAGAAAGAAAAGAACGAAGAAGAAGAAGAAGGGAAAGAAGCUUGGCGCUGCCAUCAAUGGCAGAAGAGGGAAGGAGAGGUCUGGGGCGUGGUGGCGAUGGCUAGUGGAAGAGCAGACGUCGGCGAGUAGAGCGGCAACGACGGCGGCAGCUCUAACGACCACAGAUGACGGAAAAAAAAAAGAAGACAGCAACUUCUUCGACGCCGUUCAUAGCCUUUCCGGCGACCAAUGGCAGCGGUUUCGGUCUUAAAAUGACCGGCAACUUGAGGGCUUUCUAAUAGGGGCAGUAGUAUCGAAAAUGGUGACCAGAGAAGAGAGGUCAGAUUAAGGAAAGGCAGCUGGAUCAUUGGACUUUUUCGGCCAUCUCCGGCGAGUUAUGACUGAUCGAAGUUCAUGGAUGAACUCCCUUGCUCACAAACUUUCCUAUGACACUAAUUUUGCGGCGAUUGGACUCUAUUUAAAAAUCAACGGUCAAAACUGUCUGUAAUUUUUUUCGGAUGAUCGGAGACUGGAUUGAAGAAUCAGGUGCUAGAAUCAUCGUCUGCACAUUGUCUCCAAUCUAUAGGCGCACUCGGAUUGUCGACCGGACACCGGUGGCCGAAGAUAAUCCAUCAUUUCAGUUCACUCCACCCGAGGCUUAGGAGCAGAGCAAGGGGGUCAUCAGAACUAUGAGUUAAGUAGAACAUAUGCCACCUGAUGGAUUACAUCAGGACCGCGUGUGCACCAGUAUAAAUCUGAGACAGGUAGUGAAAGAAUAUUUUAAGAUUUACCCUGGUCGAAUUCAACUCUCUGGACUGCGAAGAUUUGAUUGCCCGAUUAAAGGUUCCUGGUCAAGCUCCGCUCUCUGAGUGCCAGUUCUGUUGGUGUGAGAGAGCUGAAAGGCUGUUAGUGUUGGAAUUAGGGUUCUACUGAGGUACUCGUAAACUAUAUUUUAUUGAAUCAUUAUAUGGCCUAAUAUUUUAUUUUUGAUUAAAUAAAUAUUUUAUUGA